AAAUACGGGUUCGGAAAGCUGUUAGUAAAGCAGAAGCAGAAGUGCAGUUGCAACGACACAAACCUACCGCAAAGAACUGUCGUUAUGAAGCUGUUCGCCACCGUUCUUUUCGCCGUCUUGGCGCUCUUCGCAAUCUACUCCGAAAUCGAAGCUCAACAUACUUUCACAGGAAGUAAAAAUUGUCAGGGAACUUCGGAUCAUCGGUGUCCUCAGAUCUUGUGCGGACCGGAUGGGCCGAAAGGAAGAGUCAAUCAGGACAACAGCAAACCGUUUCCGCAAUGCUGCGGACACCCGAUUUGUUAAUAACUCGUCGAUUUAAUACUCGGACGAAUUAUGUAAAUACAUUAAGUUUGAAUAAAUGUCUCACCGUUCGAUAA